GAUUGACUCAGUGUAAUAGACUAUUCGCUGAGGACACUAGUAAUAGUGGCCGACCUUUCACCUUAAGAAAAGCUUCCAACUUUUGUAGUCAAUUUUAGAUUAGACCUCAGAUCAGGCAGGAUUACCCGCUGAACUUAAGCAUAUCAAUAAGCGGAGGAAAAGAAACUAACAAGGAUUCCCCUAGUAACGGCGAGUGAAGCGGGAAGAGCUCAAAUUUGUAAUCUGGCCCUUUCAGGGUCCGAGUUGUAAUCUCGAGAAGUGUUUUCCGCGCCGGACCGCAUACAAGUCUGUUGGAAUACAGCGUCAUAGUGGUGAGAGCCCCGUAAUUGAUGUGGAUGCCCGGUGCUUUGUGAUACACUUUCGAAGAGUCGAGUUGUUUGGGAAUGCAGCUCAAAUUGGGUGGUAAAUUCCAUCUAAAGCUAAAUAUUGGCGAGAGACCGAUAGCGAACAAGUACCGUGAGGGAAAGAUGAAAAGCACUUUGGAAAGAGAGUUAACAGUACGUGAAAUUGUUGGAAGGGAAACGCUUGAAGUCAGACUUGCUAUUCGGAAUUCAGCCGCAAGGUGUACUUUUCGAUUUGCAGGCCAGCAUCAGUUUUUGGGGGUGGAAAAGGGUGGAGAGAAGGUAGCAACCUUGGUUGUGUUAUAGCUCUUUACUGGAUUCAUCUUUGGGGACUGAGGAUCGCAGUGCGCAAUUU
rnacentral:rRNA from 1 species